rnacentral:lncRNA from 1 species
AAGGUCAUGUGGAACUUCUCCAGCAGUAUUCACUUGGAAGUGGAGGAGACCCCGACCAUGCAGGCUUCCUCCAGGAAGUUAUAUUCCUGCUUCUAAUGAAUCACCUUAACUAUGUGCGUCUGUGUCUUUGUGUAAGAGUUUUCAAGUUCUAUGCAAUAAUAAAGUGUAUGUGGUUUUAAGAUUUGGUUUACAAAUCUAAAAACAUUUGCUCCUAUCAUAUGAUGUAAACAAAAACUAUUGUGUGUUUGAUUAAAAACUACACAUAAUACUAUUGAUCCUAAUAUUGAAAUAGUUGUUGAAUCCUUUUGAUCAGUGGUUGGUUAAGCCUCUAGCGUUUUUACAUCAGAUUUUGGAUUUGACUUCUAGGGAAUGUAUUAGGUUUAAGUAUAUAUAUGGAUGCAACCUUUAGCACAUAUUCCGACGUAUUCUAUGUUGAAUGUUCUGUAACCAUUUUGUGUUCUACGAUUAAAAUGUCUAUCGUGACUGUAAUAUUAAUAGAAUCGCCAAUCGUGAACGUAUAUGUGUAAGUGAAAUCGUUUGUAAUAAUAUGUGUUGGAUGUGGUAUGCUAUUUUUAUAAUUCAUAGAGAUUAAUUUAUUGAAUCCUUCCUAAAUUUUGUUAAAUUACGUGGAAUCAUUCCUAAAUUUUGUUAAAUCCUUGUUAAAUUACAUGGAAUCCUUCCUAAAUUUUGUUGAAUCCUUCCUAAAUUUCUUGGGUUUUUUUUUUGCAGGAAAAGUCGGACGGAAAUUUAUUUGGUGGGAAAAUUUUGACGAUUUUUUUUUCCGGGACCGGAAAUUAUUUUGGCAGAAAAUUUUUAUGGAAAUUAUUUUGGCGAGAAAAUUUUGACGGGAUUUUGUUUUGGCGGGAAAAUAUUAACGAUGAAUUUGUGAUUUUUAUAUUUAUUUAUAAUUAUGUAUUAAUUUAAAAAAUCAAAAAUAAGGUGCUAUUUUUGUCCCAAAAACUUAAUUUGGGACUAUAAGAGACAAUUUUUCUAUAUAAAUUUUUUUUUUUAAUAUAAAUUAUCAUAAAUAUUAAUUUAAAAAUUUACAAAUAUAGCGACUGUUUAAAACGACAGUCAAACGAACAACACAGAAACAGUCGCCAGCGAUAAGCAAACGAAUAAUACAUGAUGUCCCUGAUCGCUGAUUGCUGUCGUUGGUCGCUGCCGCUGAAUCAAACGACAGGCAAACGAACAUGGACCUCAGUAAGAAGCGAAGUUAAAAGGAAAAAACUAAAAAAGCUUAGAUGACCAAUUCAACGAUCAUUGAUAGUGGCAAAGUGCGAUGGAGUCUUUGUUAUUUGCUUUCAACAUAAGUCAAAGUCAUCUGCGGUUCAUCUUAAAUCAAGCAAUCUCAAAUGACACUGAAAAUAAAGUUUCAAGUCGUUGUUACUUUCUUCUUUUUAAGUCAACGUACACUAAUAGUCAACUCCACUUAAUAUAUUCUUUUCGAUUAAUAUGAAAUGGCAAGGAAGUCGUAUUUAAAUUUUUCCAAAACAACGGACAAAGACUUAUCUCUUAAAAUUCAAAUUUGUAAAUCAACAACAAGAAGGAAUAUUUUAGGUUUGUAGGUCAUAUAGAAACCGCGUUCACAAGUAAAACUUUGAAAUAAAGCUAGUUAACAAGAAAAACUAAAUAUCAAGUGUUGUUAGUUCAAUCGGUAAAGACCAUAGGCGAAGUUUAAAAGUCGCCGGUUCGAGUGACGCUUGGGACGAAACUAAUAUUACAUGAUGUGGUUUCGGAGCUGGGGAUUACGGGCUUUGUCCCACAACCUCCAGGUAUUCAAAAAAAAUAAAAAACAAGAAAACUAAAUAGGGAAACCAAAAAUAUGAGGUUAGGCUAGGGAUGUCAAUUGGGCUGUCGAGGUUCAAAUGGGACCAACACCAAAUAGGACCAUGAUAGUAUAAACCCAAAUAGGACCGUGUCUAAUUAAGUCCAAAUCCAAAUAAGACCAUGAGGCCCAAAUAAUAUGAUUUUCUAUUUCCCGCCAAAACCGCAAAAACACUUUUUUUCUCCAAAUCGAAGAAUUGCAUUUUUCCGCCAAAUCGUAAAAUUGCAUUUUCCGCCAAAACUGUAAAAUUAUUUUUUUGAGUGAAAAUGUCAGUGUAAAUCCUAUUUUUAAAACAAAUAAAGAAAAAAAAAAUUUAAUCCAAAUUAGUAACCCUAAUUUUUAAGGCUUAUUGGACGGCCCAUGUCCAGAUGAGUUCGGCCCAUUUGUUUGUAGACUAAAUGGGCUUCUAGCCCAUAUUGACCGUUUCGAAUUUGGGCAUGACCAAAUCUGGACCAAAAAUAUGAGGUUACGGGGCUGGGGGAUUACGGGCUUUGUCCCAUAACCUCCAUGUAUUCAAAAAAAAGAAAAAAAAACAAGAAAACUAAAUAGGGAAACAAAAAAUAUGAGGUUAGGGCCUAACCGUUAGGCCUUCUAUAUAUAUAUCACAAACUUGCGAUGAAAAAAAAACGCAACGAAAGAGAAAUGGGUUCGAAGUCUACAAAUAUUUCUGCACUUUUGUUAACACUGCUUCUUAUACUUUUCACUCUUUCCUCUCAGCUUGAAGUCGUGGAAUGUACAGGCCGCAAACUGUGUAAGUUUCUUUACAACAAAUAAACUAUAUCUCUUGCCCUAUCUCUUUUAUGUUUUCUUGUGUAUAUCAUUUUUGAUGCGAAAAUGGAAAGAGUGUAUGGCAAGAUAUAAAUUCAUCCUUACAUUACAUCAACAAUUUCUAAGUAAAGUUGUGAAAAGAACGAGUUCAAAAUCGAUUUUUCCUUCAAAGUAAAUAAAAAAUCUCGCUUAGUUUAGUUUUGAACUUUAAUAUGUCAGCGUGGGGGUUUUCGGGAACGCCUAUCGUGUACACACCACCUUCAAGGUCAUGUGGAACUUCUCCAGCAGUAUUCACUUGGAAGUGGAGGAGACCCCGACCAUGCAGGCUUCCUCCAGGAAGUUAUAUUCCUGCUUCUAAUGAAUCACCUUAACUAUGUGCGUCUGUGUCUUUGUGUAAGAGUUUUCAAGUUCUAUGCAAUAAUAAAGUGUAUGUGGUUUUAAGAUUUGGUUUACAAAUCUAAAAACAUUUGCU